GAUGAACGCUGGCGGCGUGCCUAAUACAUGCAAGUCGAGCGAACAGACGAGGCGCUUGCUCCUCUGACGUUAGCGGCGGGCGUGUGAGUAACACGUGUAUCCCCUCCCUAUAUGACUGGGAUAACUUCGGGACACCGGAUCUAAUACCGUAUAAUCUAUUGAACCACGUUGUUCAUUGGUGAAAUACGGUUUUGCUGUCACUUAUAGAUGGUUCCGGGCUGAAUUGGCUAGUUGUUAAGGUAACGGCUUACCAAGGCUACGAUGGGUAGCCGACCUGAGAGGGGGAUCGGCCACAUGGGAACUGAGACACGGACAAGACUCCUAAGGGAGGCAGCAGUAGGGAAUCUUCGGCAAUGGGCGAAAGCUUGACGGAGCAAGGCCGAGUGAGUGAUGAAGGUCUUCGGAUCGUAAAACUCUGUUAUUAGGGAAGAACAACUGUGUAAGUAAAUAUGGACGGAUUGACGGUACCGAAUCAGAAAGCAACGGCUAACUACGUG
rnacentral:rRNA from 1 species